rnacentral:rRNA from 1 species
GUGCCAGCCGCCGCGGUAAGACGAACCGUGCGAACGUUGUUCGGAUUCACUGGGCUUAAAGGGCGCGUAGGCGGGCUUUCAAGUCAGGGGUGAAAUCUUUCGGCUCAACCGGAAAACAGCCCCUGAUACUGGAAGUCUCGAGGGAGGUAGGGGCAUGUGGAACUCCAGGUGGAGCGGUGAAAUGCGUUGAUAUCCUAAGGAACACCGGUGGCGAAAGCGGCGUACUGGGUCUUAUCUGACGCUGAGGCACGAAGGCUAGGGUAGCGAACGGGAUUAGAUACCCCUGUAGUCC